rnacentral:rRNA from 1 species
GAGUUUGAUCCUGGCUCAGGAUGAACGCUGGCGGCGUGCUUAACACAUGCAAGUCGAACGAUGACCCCGUGCUUGCACGGGUGAUUAGUGGCGAACGGGUGAGUAACACGUGAGUAACCUGCCCCUGACUCUGGGAUAAGCCCGGGAAACUGGGUCUAAUACUGGAUAUGACCUUUAACCGCAUGGUUUUUGGUGGAAAGAUUUAUCGGUUGGGGAUGGACUCGCGGCCUAUCAGCUUGUUGGUGAGGUAAUGGCUCACCAAGGCGACGACGGGUAGCCGGCCUGAGAGGGUGACCGGCCACACUGGAACUGAGACACGGCCCAGACUCCUACGGGAGGCAGCAGUGGGGAAUAUUGCACAAUGGGCGAAAGCCUGAUGCAGCGACGCCGCGUGAGGGAUGACGGCCUUCGGGUUGUAAACUUCUUUCAGUAGGGAAGAAGCGAAAGUGACGGUACCUGCAGAAGAAGCGCCGGCUAACUACGUGCCAGCAGCCGCGGUAAUACGUAGGGCGCAAGCGUUAUCCGGAUUUAUUGGGCGUGAAGAGCUCGUAGGCGGUUUGUCGCGUCUGCCGUGAAAGUCCGAGGCUCAACCUCGGAUCUGCGGUGGGUACGGGCAGACUAGAGUGAUGUAGGGGAGACUGGAAUUCCUGGUGUAGCGGUGAAAUGCGCAGAUAUCAGGAGGAACACCGAUGGCGAAGGCAGGUCUCUGGGCAUCUACUGACGCUGAGGAGCGAAAGCAUGGGGAGCGAACAGGAUUAGAUACCCUGGUAGUCCAUGCCGUAAACGUUGGGCACUAGGUGUGGGGAACAUUCCACGUUUUCCGCGCCGUAGCUAACGCAUUAAGUGCCCCGCCUGGGGAGUACGGCCGCAAGGCUAAAACUCAAAGGAAUUGACGG